GGCAAUGUGGCGGAGUGGUUAACGCGCUGCCCUGCUAUUCACCCCCGAUUCUCGCAACCGGUCACAGCGGAUGCAAGGCAGUUCCUUUGGGAGCGUAGGUUCGAAUCCUGCCAUUGUCG